CCUACGGGCGGCAGCAGUGAGGAAUAUUGGUCAAUGGCCGGAAGGCUGAACCAGCCAAGCCGCGUGAAGGACGAAGGUGCCAAGCAUUGUAAACUUCUUUUGUCAAGGGACAAAAUCAGGAUAGAAAGCCUGAACGAGGGUACUUGAAGAAAAAGCAUCGGCUAACUCCGUUCCAGCAGCCGCGGUAAUACGGAGGAUGCGAGCGUUACCCGGAUUUAUUGGGUUAAAGGGGUGCGUAGGCGGGCUGUUAAGUCAGCGGUAAAACCCCGGGGCUCACCCCCGGCGAGCCGUUGAAACUGGGUGUCUUGAGAUGUCGAGAGGUAUGCGGAAUGCGCAGUGUAGCGGUGAAAUGCUUAGAUAUUGCGAAGAACUCCGAUUGCGAAGGCAGCAUACCGGCGGCGAUCUGACGCUGAGGCACGAAAGCGUGGGUAUCGAACAGGAUUAGAUACCCCGGUAGUC
rnacentral:rRNA from 1 species